ensembl:lncRNA
GGAGGUCCUGUUCGGGCCGUCGAGUGGCACAGCUGAGAAUUCUGAUCGUAAUCUAAAACGGAAAUAGCUGCCAUUUAGGAGACGUAACCGUUUCCAUUAUUGUAUUUUACCUACCCGUAAAAUGCAAAUUUAUCGCUAAUUUCAAUAGAUGUUUCGUCAGAGACUAUGAGGAAUGGACUGAUUAAUAAAUAUACCCUAGAGAUAAAUUUUCCCUUCAAAUAAGGUUAUCAGCGUUAAAAUUGUAGAAGUGCUUUCCAGACGUGAAAAAUUAGCCGUGAUUGAAUCUGAAGGAAAUCAGAUGUGCGAGAGUGAUCGAAACGUGCUAAGCUAGAGGAUCUUGCAAGAGUUUAAACGCCGUCGCGGAGGAGAUGAGAUCGAUAGAGGAGAGGAAGGAAGGAAAUGGAUGUUAUCUGUCCGAGGGCGCUCCCGCAGCCUCCUCGCCCGCCCGCCCAUCUCCGACGGCACCUUCCGCCGCCCCGCUCCGCGCUCCCUCCGCCCGCGGCCGGCCGCCGGGCCACACACGCCACCGCCACCGGUGCGACGGCCCCGGCGAGGCCCGCGGGAGCAGAGCCAGCCGCCGCGCGUUCCCGCAGAAGAGACCCUGACCCCUUGCUCCGCACCGCUCCGCAUCCCUCCAUGCCGCACAGCGGGGUGCGCGCAGCCUGCUCGCCCUACGGCGGAUGGACAGAUCGGCCGGAUUGUUUUUAUUUCUAGAGGAAUGACCCUUGUUGAUUUUUUUACUCCUCGCUAGAUUUCUGUAGGUUGCUAUGUGGCAUGUUGUUUUCAUUUCUUGACUUUUUGAAAUAACUGUUUGGAUUUAAAUUUAUCGAACAACCUGUUAUCCAUAUGUCUGUCCGAUUAAUUUUUUUAUGGGAUGAUGAAAGAGAGAAGGAUCUAUAUAUAUAAUGAUCUGCUAAUGGAAUAAUAUAUAUAUCCAAAACACCUUUCUGGGGUUACUUUUAUUUCCGGACUUUAAAAUGCAGUCUGGGUUUUUAGGCAAUUGGGUGAGGUGAAUUGAUGUAGAAGAGUCACAUAUUUAGACUUCAGGGAAAAAAAAAUAUAUUGUUUUACACCAGAAAGAUAUUUUCCUGUCCUCCCUUAGAAAAUCUUGAAUGACAUUUACAGGAAGGUCAUGGCCAUGUUUUGCCAUUCACAGUGUGAUUUCUGCAGAUCUUUUCGAACAUUGAACCCGGGUGCAUCCAGAGAGUAAAAUAUCCACAGCGCCCUUUUCACUUCAAAGACACGGUUUUCUGUAACUAGCCAGCAGGGAUCCAUAGGAACAGUCACUAAGGAAAACAUAUUUCUAUCAUUAGCCUCUUCUUCCCUCCGCCCCCCAAGUGAGUCUAAUCGCUUCACCCUAAGGAGACGUGGUGUGUAAAAAUGAUAGCAAGGAGCUCACCGCGUCUAGUCAGUCAAACAUUAUCAACUGCAGAAAAAUUAUAGGCGCCGGUGAGAGAGUCGUCUGUGAAUCCUGUUUUUGUGCAUCUCAAGUGCACCUUCUCCCCCGUUUCUCUCCCUUGCCCUUGCUUGCGGCUGAGUGUGUGUCGGGGGCGAAUUAGCACUUCCAAUUUUGCUAUAAUGGGCUGAACAGCAAGCUUAGAGCGACUAGCCCAGAGAUACAGGUGACCCUCGAAAGAGGCUUGAGAGAAGGUUAAGCGUGGCUUAGAUAGAAAAGAGGAAAGUCCCCAGAGCCCUCACGUCCCACUCCGCCGGGGAUCCUCCGGCCGGACUGCUUUCCCCGCUGCCAGGUGGGCUGCAGCCCGACGGAAGAGGUGGCACUAGGGACCCGGUAGGAGCGGUCGUCCGGAGCGGCGGCGGGGCUCUGCAUCGGUUUCCGAUGAGAGCAGCUCGGCCCCUGCUUCCACUUUUGUAUAUCAUCUUCCUCGGGCGCAAAACGAGCGCGGCUCACAGCGUGCAGCGCAGGCGGUCCCGGCUCAUCCCACGCCGGGCUCAGGCUCGCGGUGCCCCGGCGGCCGUGGGCAACCCCCUGGUAUUCGUCCCGGGGCCUGUCCCGAACGCGCCGCCUCGUGCGCCCGCCCGACGGGCUUUAGCUUUGCGGCCGAGCCGGAACGAGAGGGAGAGGGGUCGGUUUCCCAACACUUGAGACUCCCCGGGCUCAAACUACGUAACUCGACUGGCGGGUCCCAAAACAAGCGGACGACGAGGCCGCUCUGGACCCAGCCUCCAGGACCAGAGAGCAUGCAGCAUCCCGUUCGGUGCUUCUAGCUCAGGAGCCGAGAAAAGGGAACAGGGCCGGGGAAGAGAGGAGAAGCCCCGAGCUCCCAUCGCGCACAGAGCCCUUUGUCGCCUGCAGUGACCCAGCUUUAGCCUGAACCGCGGGGAGCCUCGUUGCGGCUAUCGCCGGUCGCGCCGAAGCCAAGCCCAACCUGCCAGGAGCGUGGCCACGGCAGCCCUCAAACAGCCGCCGCGAGUGGGAUUAGGGGAGGGCUCAUCGAUACGGCGUGGCACGUUUUGUUGCCGCUUCAGCACCGCGGGACGACCGCGCACCGAGGAGGCAAACGGGUCGGGGCCAGCCCACCGUAGCCGCCGAUGGGGCGCGCGGUCCGCCGGCAGGCGCGCGUC